rnacentral:rRNA from 1 species
UGAAUACGAGACGCUACGGCGUCGAAGCAGUCUAUGUCAUACUUCCAAGAAAAGCUCGCAAUGUCAUAAACAAAUAAUGCCUGUACCAUAACCGACACAGGUGGGUAGGUAGAGUAUACUAAGGGGCGCGAGAUAACUCUCUCUAAGGAACUCGGCAAAAUGACUCCGUAACUUCGGGAGAAGGAGUGCCUUAUUUAUAAGGUUGCAAUAACAAGAUCCAAGCAACUGUUUAUCAAAAACACAGGUCUCCGCUAAGUCAUAAGACGAUGUAUGGGGGCUGACGCCUGCCCAGUGCCAGAAGGUUAAAGAAGUUGGUUAGCAUUCGCGAAGCUGAUAACUGAAGCCCCGGUGAACGGCGGCCGUAACAAUAACGGUCCUAAGGUAGCGAAAUUCCUUGUCGGGUAAGUUCCGACCCGCACGAAAGGCGUAAUGAUUUGGAUACUGUCUCGGAGAGGGGCUCGGUGAAAUAGACUUGUCUGUGAAGAUGCGGACUACCUGCACCUGGACAGAAAGACCCUAUGAAGCUUUACUGUAACUUGAAAUUGAAAUUGGACUUUAUUUGCGCAGCAUAGGUGGGAGGCGUUGAGAGUAUUCUUGCGGGAAUAUUGGAGCCAUCAGUGAGAUACCACUCUUGUAAUGUUAGAUUUCUAACUUUGGAUCAUUAUCUGGUCAAAGAACAGUUUCAGGCGGGCAGUUUGACUGGGGCGGUCGCCUCCCAAAUGGUAACGGAGGCGUACAAAGGUUUCCUCUGAACGGGUAGAAAUCGUAUCUAGAGUGUAAAGGCAUAAGGAAGCUUGACUGUGAGACCUACAAGUCGAGCAGGGACGAAAGUCGGUCUUAGUGAUCUGACGGUGCUGAGUGGAAAGGCCGUCACUCAACGGAUAAAAGUUACUCUAAGGAUAACAGGCUGAUCUCCCCCAAGAGUUCACAUCGACGGGGAGGUUUGGCACCUCGAUGUCGGCUCAUCGCAUCCUGGGGCGGUAGUACGUCCCAAGGGUUGGGCUGUUCGCCCAUGAAAGCGGUACGCGAGCUGGGUUCAGAACGUCGUGAGACAGUUCGGUCCAUAUCCGGUGUAGGCGUUAGAAUAUUGAGAGGAGCCUUCUUUAGUACGAGAGGACCGAGAAGGACAUACCUCUGGUGUACCAGUUAUCGUGCCAACGGUAAACGCUGGGUAGCUAUGUAUGGAGAGGAUAACCGCUGAAAGCAUCUAAGUGGGAAGCCCACCUCAAGAUAAG